ensembl:lincRNA
GACUUGCACUGUCCCCUGGGCUGGAAUGCAGUGGCAUGAUCUCGACUCAUUGCAACCUCUGCCUCCCAGGUUCAAGUGAUUCUUCUGCCUCAGCCUCCCGACUAGUUGGGAUUACAGGUGCCCAAUACCACGCCUGGCUAAUUUUUUUUUUAUUUUUAGUAGAAAGGGGGUUUCACUGUGUUGGCCAGGCUGGUCUCGAACCCCUGACCUCGUGAUCCGCUCACCUUGGCCUCCCAAAGUGCCGGGAUUGCAGGCGUGAGCCACCGCACCCAGCCUGAAGACUUUUAAAGCAUCAAAGCAUCUUGAAAACACCUGCUGCAGUGUUUUCAAGCUGGGGCCAUGGCAUCCUCAAAACUAAAUGCCCAUCUAACAUUAUCUGCAGGGUGAAUAAAUAAUAGAUGUUCUACUAUUUAUUAAAAAGUGCUACUAGAUUAAUUGUAGUGUUUUCUCAUUUUGUGUCUUUUCAAUUAACAGAUUCUACAAGCCCAAGUUUUUUUAUUGAGGAAUAUACGACAUCUUUUUAAGAUUAAACAAGGUCUUUAAAGCCAAAAUUGAUCCAAUUCAAUCCCUUCAUUGCAGACGAGGAACAGGUUGAAGCUCUUCAACAAAUCUCUCCUCAGCCAAAUACAUCUGGUACCUUAAUGGAGUCGACAGCACAGGCUUCUGAUUAGUUCACACAUCACUCACCAAUUAGAAUAGAAGCACUGAGUUCCUGAAAAAGUGCCAAACUGAAUGGUGCAGUCCUGCCGAAAGAGACCCUGCGCUGUGCUGUGUUCUCAAAGGAAGGAAUGUGUUUCACAUCUCUACACCUCUGCAACUUGGGACAGCGUAGCUUUCCUAUUUUCUGGCACCCAAAAAGGGACAGCUGAUACACCCCACUCACUCCAGACUCUGCAGAUGAGAUCUGGGACAACUGACAAAAAGCUGGAGACAGGUAAGAAUUCUUGCCAAGGUCAGCUCUCCUGGAUCUUUAUCAGUAGCACCCCGUGGAGAGAAGAAGGUUAAAAACUUUUUCUUUCCCCUUACUUCCCAAAUUCUGAGUAUCAAGAGAAAAUCAUUUGUUUGAAUUGUGACUCCUAUGUAAAUGUGAUUUGGGGUACCCAUUCAUUAUUGAUCCUUUCCCUCCCAGGGACAGCUAUAACUUUC